AAUAGCUUUUAUAUGUCUAGAUAGUCAAAGAUUCGAACUUUAUAUAUCUUUGUGGUGGCUCUUUCAAAAUUACCAGAUGAACAAAAUGGCAAGGACUUUUAACAAGGGAAGAAACAUGGCUUCAGGACUUGCUCUCUGGAGCCGCUUACUUCAUCUACUUGUGCUUGUUAUGUGUGUUCAAGGAACUGGAGGCAGGAAGAUGAGUGAAACACAAGAUGGUGAUGGCCAUGAAACAACACAUACAGAGCAUGCUCGUGCUCAUCAUCCAUCAUCCCACAUACAUCAUCACAUGGACCCUUCAUUUAUGAUUUUCUUUACCUUGGAGGACCUAAAGGAGGGCAAAACCAUGGCCAUCUAUUUUCCCAAAAGAAACCCUUCAAAAUCUCCGCACUUGUUACCAAGAGAAGAAGCUGAUCAAAUUCCUUUCUCAUCAAAACAUCUCCUCCACCUCCUUCACUUCUUCUCCUUCUCUCAAGACUCUCCCCAAGCCAAGGCCAUGGAAGACACUCUCAGGCAGUGUGAGAUUGAACCCAUCAAGGGAGAGAUCAAGUCCUGUUCUACAUCCCUAGAAUCCAUGCUCGACUUCACACGUGGUGUCUUCAGAUUGGACACCCCCUUCAGUGUUGUGGCCACAACCCAUCUCACAAAUUCAACUACCAAUUUCCAGAACUACACUAUUUUGGAAGAGCCCAAGGAGAUUUUGGCUCCCAAGAUGGUGGCUUGCCACACCAUGCCUUACCCUUACGCAGUUUUCUACUGCCACAGCCAGAAAAGUGUGAACAAGGUUUUCAAGGUUUUGUUGGGUGGUGAGGAUGGAGAUAGGGUAGAAGCUGUUGCUGUUUGUCACUUGGACACCUCUCAAUGGAGCCCUAAUCAUGCAUCUUCAGUGUGCUUAGGACUAAGCCAGGGGCUUCUGCUGUGUGUCAUUUCUUUCCUGCUGAUAAUCUUGUGUGGGUUCCAGCAUCCACUUCAAUGUAGUAAUUUUAAUGCAGGGCCAGUUUGAACAUAAUAUAAAAGGUCGAGCUUCUUCGGAAGCUUUUGAUUUUCCCACUGAAAUUCCUGGAACUGAAGUUUUAAUGACCAGAUUGUUGAUUCUUGAAGAAAAAAA